AAGUAGCUGCAGUAUGAUUAUUUGGCGCAAGGUGGCGUUGCAUCACAACAUCCAUCACGCAACAUCCGGGUCUUUCCCGCUGUAGCUAUCCCUGAACCAAAAUGGCGCCGCCGGUCGCAGUUUCGCCUCUUAUCAAGUUCUCUCGCUACGCUGCUCUCUUUGUGGGAAUCGCAUAUGGCUCAAGGAAAAAUGCCAGACUAACAGUCUCUGAGGCAGAGGUCCGAAAAAUUGAAGAGAAGCAGAAAAAGGAGAGAGAGGAACGCGAGAGGAUUGCCAAGGAGCUGGCAGCUGCCAAUGAAGACACCAUCUUGAAGUAAUGCAGCCAACGUCUUGCAGCUUUCCUGAAUACCAUUGUGAAGAAGAUUCCACUAGAGAUUUAACUAUUUGCAGAGUGUGUACUUCAAAAGAAGCUGGGUCUAACUUAAAGAUUUGUUCCUGGUAUUAAGAUGUUCACUCACCCAAAUGGUUCCAUAAUGCUUGUGACAAGAACUCAAUAGUCAUUGAAAUUCCAUCUCCUCAACAUACAAAAUGUACUACAGGCCUGUGUGUAUACACACUUUGUUCUGAAAGUUGUGAUGAACAGAUUGACAAUUGAUGACAAGUCACUAUUAAAAUGUGUCAUGUAAAGUGAA